AUUGAACGCUGGCGGCAUGCCUUACACAUGCAAGUCGAGCGGCAGCGCGGGGGCAACCCUGGCGGCGAGCGGCGGACGGGUGAGUAAUACAUCGGAACGUGUCCUUUCGUGGGGGAUAACCAGUCGAAAGACUGGCUAAUACCGCAUGAGAUCUCACGAUGAAAGCGGGGGACCGCAAGGCCUCGCGCGAUUGGAGCGGCCGAUGUCGGAUUAGCAGUUGGCGGGGUAAAAGCCCACCAAGGCGACGAUCCGUAGCUGGUUUGAGAGAACGACCAGCCACACUGGGACUGAGACACGGCCCAGACUCCUACGGGAGGCAGCAGUGGGGAAUCUUGGACAAUGGGGGCAACCCUGAUCCAGCCAUGCCGCGUGUGUGAAGAAGGCCUGG
rnacentral:rRNA from 1 species